GCUCCGUUGGUGAACCAGCGGAGGGAUCAUUGCUGGAACAAACGCCUUCGGGCGAUACCCAGAAACCCUUUGUGAAUACUACCUAAUCGUUGCCUCGGCAUGGCCGGCCCUCUCGGGGGUCCCUUUUUCACGAAAGGGGCAGGUCGGCCGGUGGCACCUAUAAACUCCUGUUUUUGUAAUAUCGUCUGAGUAAAACAACUAAAUGAAUCAAAACUUUCAACAACGGAUCUCUUGGUUCUG
rnacentral:misc_RNA from 1 species